GUAAUUGUUGUUUUCAAUAACAUUUACUACAGGAUACUGCAGCCUGACUCUGGUUUGAUUCUUAGAGGAACUGCUUGUCUUUCAAGUAGCUGCAAUCAGCUCCCAAGGCUUUAUAUAAUGCGGCAGCAAACUCAGAAUACGGUGCAUAAAGUUUUCAUAGCUGCAUUAGACUGGAAAACAUCCUGGCCCGCAUUCCAACUCCUGCCAUCUCCAGUUCUGCUGCUGAGAGCUCCCAACCUCAGUCUCGGUGACAGGUAUAGAUCCACUGUAUAGACCAUGAGCAACCUGGCUCAUGGUCUGGGCCACCAAACUCGGGUGCAGGGGGAUUCUUAAGGGAUGGAAAAGUGUGAGAGAGGGAGACUGGGAUAAACCUGUGUGGGGAAGGAGUCACUCAGUGGUGGACAAUCACCCACAGAUAUUUACAUUUGGAGACAGAAUCAACAGUGCAAGGCCAGACCUGUGCCCUCAUUGCUCUCAAAAAUAAAAAGAGAUGUCUGGAAAUUAAAGCAAGUGUCUGAGAUUAUACUGUUUUCUUGCAUCUUGACUCUUACAGCUAAGGACAAACGUGAUGCUGUUGCCUGUGUUUUCCUUAGAACCACAGAAUGGCUUGAGUUGGAAGGGACCUCAGUCAUUAUCCAGUUCCACUCCUACACCAUGGGCAGGGUUGCCAACUUACUCAGGCAUCUUUAUGGGCACAGAGCAGCAUAUGCCUCUGCCCUUCACAAUGACUUUCUUCAAGCACUUGAUGAAGACAUAUACCAUUCUGAACCACAUUUGAGGGUGUUUCCAACUAAGCUUGGUGAGGGAUGAAGCUAUAAGGACUCAUUGCCAAGAAAUGCUAGUGGAUACACACCUUCACCCCUCUUGCAGAGAACUAUUGAUGGGCUCACGUGGCUGAGAUAUUUAUGAAGAAACUUCUUGUACAAGAGGAGGUUUAUUCCUCAGAGAAUGAAUCAAUCCAGGAUUGUCACUUCUAGAUUGAAAUACGCCAAGAUGAAUAUCUCUUCCACUUCAUACUGUUAUCACUCUUUGUUACCAACUUAUUAUGGACUACAGGUAGCAAGUGCUUCUGGACUUACAGCAAUACACCAAAGGUGUCAGAUGGCCAGGAGCUUCCAACCAGACCCUGCAUGAUUUGAGUGGCCCAAUGGAUUGUUUUGGUUCUACUUGUGAGCUAUUUUGAAAUAUUACAGUGUCCAUUACCGCAGUAUUAGCACUUCACUGUCCUUAAUGCUGUUUAAUCCAUCAGUUUUAGAGUCCCAAACCAAGGACUCCCUGCCAGCAGUCACCGCUACCGAUGCAGUGCACACUGUCAGAUUGCAACCUUGGCCAUAACAAGGUCAUGUAAUAAAGCACAUGACAGAGGAAAGACUGUAAUAAUAAUUAUUUCCAUUGUGUAUAAUAAAUAAUAUAAUAAAGCUUAGUUGUAAGCAUUAGAAGAGCCGUG
ensembl:lncRNA